AGUGGGGAAUAUUGGACAAUGGGGGCAACCCUGAUCCAGCGAUGCCGCGUGUGCGAAGAAGGCCUGCGGGUUGUAAAGCACUUUGAGUGGGGAAGAAAGGCGUAUGUCGAAUAGGCAUACGAGUUGACGUUACCCACAGAACAAGCACCGGCUAACUCUGUGCCAGCAGCCGCGGUAAUACAGAGGGUGCAAGCGUUAAUCGGAAUUACUGGGCGUAAAGGGCGCGUAGGCGGAUGAAUAAGUUAGGUGUGAAAUCCCUGGGCUUAACCUGGGCAUGGCACUUAAUACUGUUUAUCUAGAGUAGAGUAGAGGGAAGUGGAAUUUCCGGUGUAGCGGUGAAAUGCGUAGAGAUCGGAAAGAACACCAGUGGCGAAGGCGGCUUCCUGGACUCAUACUGACGCUGAGGCGCGAAAGCGUGGGGAGCAAA
rnacentral:rRNA from 1 species